UUUCCAAACCAUGUAUUUUUCAUACGCAGGAGGCGUGGCUUGCCGGAAUACGGGUGGGGAAAGAAAUAACGCGGGAUCAGGUUGAAACUAACGCUUGUGAGUUCAGCAGAUCUCUCUGGACCGUGUGGUCAGCACUGCUCCUCUGUCUAUGCAGAGCUCUGACACAGGAGCUUCUAUCCCAGGACUUUCACUCCCACCGACGUCCCCUUGUACUUCUAUGUUAGCAGGACAGAAUGGGAUGUACUGCUAGCACUCACACAACAGCUCAAGACACAACUCGACCAAACUCAAAACCAGAGGAAUGCAAUGGGGCGAGUACGACAGGAACAGCUACAGAAAAUGUAAAAAACGAGGCAGCAAAUGAGUCUGCCCCAGAAGCGGCCGAUGAGAAAUCGGAGGAGCCGCAGAGCUCUGAAGCUGCUGCAGCUGAAAAGCAGCCUGAGUCUGAUGCUCCUCCAGCCGACUCCACCACACCAGAGGCUGCGCCAGAGCCGGCACCUGUGACUCAAGAUGAAGCUUCAACUUCAGCUUCAGCAGAAAACCAGGCAGAGUCAACCCCAGCACCCAGUGAAGGAAGUUAA
ensembl:lncRNA